rnacentral:rRNA from 1 species
UACAGAGGUCCCAAGCGUUGUUCGGAUUCACUGGGCGUAAAGGGUGCGUAGGCGGUUGGGUAAGUCUGAUGUGAAAUCUCCGGGCUCAACCCGGAAACGGCAUUGGAUACUAUCCGGCUGGAGGGUUGGAGGGGGGACUGGAAUUCUCGGUGUAGCAGUGAAAUGCGUAGAUAUCGAGAGGAACACCAGUGGCGAAGGCGGGUCCCUGGACAACCCCUGACGCUGAGGCACGAAAGCCGGGGGAG